rnacentral:sRNA from 1 species
UUCGACUAAGGUUCGACUCGAGCGAAGCGAGAGAACGUUGCCGCAGGCAACGGCCCGAAGGGCGAGGCGCUUUAGCGGCGAGUAAUCCUUCCCCCACCAUCA